rnacentral:rRNA from 1 species
GCGUUGUUCGGAAUUACUGGGCGUAAAGGGCUCGUAGGCGGCCAACUAAGUCAGACGUGAAAUCCCUCGGCUUAACCGGGGAACUGCGUCUGAUACUGGAUGGCUUGAGUUUGGGAGAGGGAUGCGGAAUUCCAGGUGUAGCGGUGAAAUGCGUAGAUAUCUGGAGGAACACCGGUGGCGAAGGCGGCAUCCUGGACCAACACUGACGCUGAGGAGCGAAAGCCAGGGGAGCAAACGGG